UACGAAGGGGGCUAGCGUUGCUCGGAAUCACUGGGCGUAAAGCGCACGUAGGCGGGUUCUUAAGUCAGGGGUGAAAUCCUGGAGCUCAACUCCAGAACUGCCUUUGAUACUGGGAAUCUCGAGUCCGGGAGAGGUGAGUGGAAUUCCCGGUGUAGCGGUGAAAUGCGCAGAUAUCGGGAGGAACACCUAUGGCGAAGGCAGCUCGCUGGGACGGUACUGACGCUGAGACGCGAAAGCGUGGGGAGCAAACAGG
rnacentral:rRNA from 1 species